GGCUCCAUAGUGUAGAGGUUAGCACGUCUGCUUUACACACAGAAGGUCCUGGGUUCGCGCCCCAGGUGAAGCCA
rfam:Pteropus alecto contig57684, whole genome shotgun sequence.